UACGUAGGGGGCAAGCGUUGUCCGGAUUUAUUGGGCGUAAAGAGCUCGUAGGCGGUUCCGUAAGUCGUGAAGUCAAAUCUCUGGGCUCAACCCAGAAUCGCUUCCGAUACUGCGGUGACUGGAGUCCGGUGAGGGGAGUGGUGGAAUUCCUGGUGUAGCGGUGAAAUGCGCAGAUAUCAGGAGGAACACCAACAGCGAAGGCAGCACUCUGGGCCGGUACUGACGCUGAGGAGCGAAAGCAUGGGGAGCGAACAGG
rnacentral:rRNA from 1 species